GCAACAUUUGAAAUAUCGGUCUACCGAGCAAUAUCACCCGCUCGGUGGAAAAUCUUCCCUUUUACAU
rnacentral:pre_miRNA from 1 species